rnacentral:rRNA from 1 species
UACGAAGGGUGCAAACGUCGCUCGGAAUUAUUGGGCGUAAAGCGCACGUAGGCGGCUCUGUAAGUCGGGUGUGAAAUCCCUCGGCUUAACCAAGGAAGUGCAUCCGAAACUGCGGAGCUUGAGUACUUAAGAGGAUCGCGGUAUUCCCGGUGUAGAGGUGAAAUUCGUAGAUAUCGGGAGGAACACCAGUGGCGAAGGCGGCGAUCUGGGAAGAUACUGACGCUGAGGUGCGAAAGCGUGGGGAGCAAACAGG